rnacentral:lncRNA from 1 species
UGGGUUCUCUAUGAUCUGCUGAACUUAUAAAAUAAAAUUGCAUCAUUAGGUUGAAAGUUUUUAAAACAUACAUAUACUUUUACGAAAAAGAAAAAGAAACCAUUUUUUUUCGAUAAUCUGCACUCUUCUCAUCUCCAACGAUAUGUGCAAUCAUAGCAAAUGUAAAACAAUGGCAUUGCCCAUUGUUCUUUCUUUCCCCGGAGCCGGUACCAAAAACCGUUUUCCUGACAAAAGUGACUGGCUCGAAUGGAAGCUCCAUAGCUCACAAGCUUUUUUUCUCAUUGAUGGUUCUAAUUUACAUUUAAACCUUUUUUUUUUUUUUUUUUUCUCAUCAUCCAUUAUUUAUUGGAAAGAGGAACAUAUAUGCUUUGACCUACUUGCCUUUCCAGUGUGAGACCAUGAGGUUAAGGCCCAACCAAUUAAAUUCGGGUCGCAGGCUAGACUGCGGACUAUUGAUCCAAUCCAAUAAUAGAUCAAGUUGGGCGGACCCACAAGCAAAAGAAUGGCCCACAACCCUACAGAUGGACCCACCUAUGGCCCAUGAUAAAAAUAAAUUUCCCUUUACUGUUGGGUUUUAAUUGGCUAUUAUAGGAAAUAUUAGAGUCAUGAUAGGAAUUCACACUAUUGGUAGCUCCCAUCUUUAAGUGCAAUCCUAACACUCUAAUAUAAGUCGGUGGAUAGAGCAACAGUCCAACUCAAAGACAGAAGCCUCUCCUAAACUUAGCUGUUUACUCC